rnacentral:rRNA from 1 species
AACGAACGCUGGCGGCGUGCUUAACACAUGCAAGUCGAACGCGAAAGGGACUUCGGUCCUGAGUAAAGUGGCGCACGGGUGAGUAACGCGUAGAUAACCUGUCUUCGUGUCUGGAAUAAUACGCCGAAAGGUGUACUAAUACCGGAUAUUCUUGCUUUAUAUAAGUUUUGCAAGCAAAGGUGGCCUCUGCAUAUGCUACCGCAUGAAGAGGGGUCUGCGUACCAUUAGCUAGUAGGUAGGGUAAUGGCCUACCUAGGCGACGAUGGUUAGCGGGUCUGAGAGGAUGAUCCGCCACACUGGCACUGGAACACGGGCCAGACUCCUACGGGAGGCAGCAGUGAGGAAUAUUGCGCAAUGGGGGCAACCCUGACGCAGCGACGCCGCGUGAGUGAGGAAGGCCUUCGGGUCGUAAAGCUCUGUCAAGAGGAAAGAAGUGCAUAGCGGUUAAUACCCGUUAUGUUUGACGGUACCUCUAAAGGAAGCACCGGCUAACUCCGUGCCAGCAGCCGCCGUAA